rfam:Picea glauca, whole genome shotgun sequence.
GGGUGCGAUCAUACCAACGUUAAUGCACCGGAUCCCAUCAGAACUCUGUAGUUAACCGUGCUUGGGCUAGAGUAGUACUAGGAUGGGUGACCUCCUAGGAAGUCCUAGUGUUGCACCCU